GACGAACGCUGGCGGCGUGCUUAACACAUGCAAGUCGAACGGAAAGGCCCUGCUUUUGUGGGGUGCUCGAGUGGCGAACGGGUGAGUAACACGUGAGUAACCUGCCCUUGACUUUGGGAUAACUUCAGGAAACUGGGGCUAAUACCGGAUAGGAGCUCCUGCUGCAUGGUGGGGGUUGGAAAGUUUCGGCGGUUGGGGAUGGACUCGCGGCUUAUCAGCUUGUUGGUGGGGUAGUGGCUUACCAAGGCUUUGACGGGUAGCCGGCCUGAGAGGGUGACCGGCGACAUUGGGACUAAGGGACGGCCCAGAGUCCUACGGGAGGCAGCAGUGGGGAAUAUUGCACAAUGGGCGGAAGCCUGAGGCAGCAACGCCGCGUGCGGGAUGACGGCCUUCGGGUUGUAAACCGCUUUCGCCUGUGACGAAGCGUGAGUGACGGUAAUGGGUAAAGAAGCACCGGCUAACUACGUG
rnacentral:rRNA from 1 species